GACGGGGCCCGCACAAGCGGUGAGCAUGUGGUUUAAUUCGAUGCAACGCGAAGAACCUUACCUGGGCUUGACAUCCCGGGAAUCCCUUGGAAACAAGGGAGUGCCCUUCGGGAACCUGGAGACAGGUGCUGCAUGGCUGUCGUCAGCUCGUGUCGUGAGAUGUAGGGUUAAGUCCCGCAACGAGCGCAACCCCUUUGUCUUUAAUUGCCAUCAUUGAGUUGGGCACUUUAAAGAGACUGCCGGUGUUAAACCGGAGGAAGGUGGGGAUGACGUCAAGUCCUCAUGGCCUUUAUGCCCAGGGCUACACACGUGCUACAAUGGCAGGUACAGAGGGCUGCGAAGCCGCGAGGUGGAGCGAAUCCCAGAAAACCUGUCUCAGUCCGGAUUGAAGUCUGCAACUCGACUUCAUGAAGGCGGAAUCGCUAGUAACCGCGAACCAGCAGGUCGCGGUGAAUACGUUCCCGGGCCUU
rnacentral:rRNA from 1 species